GAUGAACGCUAGCGACAGGCUUAACACAUGCAAGUCGGACGAGUGGCGAACGGGUGAGUAACAUAUCGGAACGUACCGAGUAAUGGGGGAUAACUAGUCGCAAGAUUAGCUAAUACCGCAUAUUAUUCGAGCGGCCGUUAUCUGAUUAGCUGGUUGGUGGGGUAAAGGCCUACCAAGGCGACGAUGAGUAGUGGGUCUGAGAGGAUGAUGCGCCACACGGGGACUGAGACACGGACCAGACUCCUACGGGAGGCAGCAGUGGGGAAUUUUGGACAAUGGGCGCUAGCCUGAACCAGCCAUGCCGCGUGUCUGAAGAAGGCCUUCGGGUUGUAGAGGACUUUUGUCAGGGAAGCGGUACCUGAAGAAUAAGCACCGGCUAACUACGUGCCAGCAGCCGCGGUAAUAC
rnacentral:rRNA from 1 species